CCUUUGACGUUAGCGGCGGACGGGUGAGUAACACGUGGGUAACCUACCUAUAAGACUGGGAUAACUUCGGGAAACCGGAGCUAAUACCGGAUAAUAUUUCGAACCGCAUGGUUCGAUAGUGAAAGAUGGUUUUGCUAUCACUUAUAGAUGGACCUGCGCCGUAUUAGCUAGUUGGUAAGGUAACGGCUUACCAAGGCGACGAUACGUAGCCGACCUGAAAGGGUGAUCGGCCACACUGGAACUGAGACACGGUCCAGACUCCUACGGGAGGCAGCAGUA
rnacentral:rRNA from 1 species